rnacentral:rRNA from 1 species
GAUGAACGCUAGCGGCAGGCCUAACACAUGCAAGUCGAGGGGUAACUAGAGUGAUAGCAAUAUUACUUUGGCUAGACCGGCGCACGGGUGCGUAACACGUAUGCAACCUACCUUAUACUGGGGAAUAACUUCGAGAAAUCGGCGCUAAUACCCCAUAACAUUGCGAAGAGGCAUCUCUUUGCAAUUAAAGCUCCGGCGGUAUAAGAUGGGCAUGCGUCCAAUUAGCUAGUUGGUGAGGUAACGGCUCACCAAGGCUACGAUUGGUAGGGGUUCUGAGAGGAUGAUCCCCCACACUGGUACUGAGACACGGACCAGACUCCUACGGGAGGCAGCAGUGAGGAAUAUCGCGCAAUGGACGAAAGUCUGACGCAGCCAUGCCGCGUGCAGGAUGACGGCCCUAUGGGUUGUAAACUGCUUUUGUACGGGAAUAAACCCUUCUACGUGUAGGAGGCUGAAGGUACCGUAAGAAUAAGUACCGGCUAACUCCGUGCCAGCCGCCGCGGUAAUAC